UAGCAGUUCCUCUUUCCUCAGUGUACUUCUUGUGAGGAAAUCCCAUUUGUGACAAGAUGCUGGAUGCCCCAUGCUUUUGUGGCCUUGCUGGAGCCCCACAGUCCUCCUACUUCCCACACCAGGAAAGGGGCAGCAGAAAAGUUUCCAUCAUGCCUGCCUAGAGAGGCUGUAUGAAGGCAACCAAUCAGAGCUCAGCAGUCUCAGAUAAAAGGAGCUGAGCAGUUCAAUUCCUGGCUAGGCUUAUUGGGGCACAGCAGAGCAUGCCUUUCUGGAGACAGCAGCUCAGGACACAACCAGGCUGCUCUCUAUAGAGCCCAUGGGUCCAAACCCGGAUUAGUAGAUGAGCCCAGAUACCCCACUGACCACUGGUGACAUGGUGGAAAGCCCGAGAAGGGAGCCAGGCUUGUUUCAAAGUAUGAGUGAAGGGCUGAAUUUAAAGACUCCUGAGCUCAGGCUGAAAACACUGGAUGUCUUGAUACCUUGGAGUCUGGUUUGCAGAAGUGCUGAGCACUCACAGCUGUUGCUGAGAGGCUGAUGCCAUAUACUUCUGAGGGAAUAAACACAGCAGGACAAUUUAUUGAGCGAUCCAUCCUCUGACAUCCAGUCCAACCUGCUGACAAUCAGAGGUUUAGGAGCACCCAGAACAUGGAGUGUGUCACUGAUUAUCUUGGCUAAUUGCCUUUUAUAGACCUAUACUCCAUUACUCACCCAGGAAGGGAUUCUCAGAAUAUGCACCAAAGCAAACAGACAGAUCCUCAAAUCCAUAAAGAACCUUAGGGGUUCUUUUCCCUAGUAUCGGAAAAAUUAUUAAAACAGAUGUUUGCAGAAUCUAUUCAGAAUGUUAUGGCUUAAUAUAGAAGGGAAUUAAGUACCUGGGUUUCUAAUAAAAUUACAAUAAUAAGUUAAUACAGAUACACUAUUGGUACAAAACAAAUGGCACCAUAGCCUUUUAGAAUUGUAUUCCUUUUUAUAUCCUUUUAAUUAUUUUACCUAUUUAUAGUGCGACAAGAAUGCUUUAAUAGUAUGUGCACAAGGGGAAGGUGAUUUAGGAAUAUGGUAAUAUUACUGUGAGAGCGAAUCCUAAGGGAAAGAAAAAAAUCCUCAAGAGAAUCCUUAAAAAGAACAAAAAAGAACUACUUUUAAAAGAUGCCUGUCAAACCGAUCUCCAAAUAAUUUGUUUAUACAUGAAACACGGAAAAGAAUAUAAAAAACUCAUUGAGACUAACAAACAAUGAAAGAAAUAAAGUACAACAAGAAUGUGCAAACUGAAAUAAUAAAA